UUUUAUAUUUCUUAUGGCACUCGCGACAUUCUACCGAACGUAUCCUUUUCGAGCAAACACUUUGGUCGAAUGCGCACGCGAACACUUUACUCGAAACCGAAAGCACGAUGCCGCGCUUUACACGUAAAUACGACCUCUGCUACGUACGAUCUGACAUGGACGGCACGACGGCACUCUCAACACGACAUCGUACCUGCAUAACACCGCACAAUUCAAUUCUGAAUACGCGAGACACGCACGGAGUCGACAGAGCGUCUGAUAUGUCUGACCGGCGGCGCUAGCACCACUAGAGUGGCGUACGUGACUGGAACGCGGAGCAACGGAGCAACAUGGCGGCAGCGGCGCAGGCGCGGCGAGUCAACCGCCUAACAACGCCGAGUGGCGCCGACUAGCGCCGAGUACCGCCGAGUCUGUCUGCCAGCGGUCACGUACGCCAUGUUACCUCGCGUUCUAGCGCCGGUCGGAUGAUCUGUUAUGCCAAUACUGAAACUUUAGUAUUUCGAGCUGUGCUACGAUUAGUUCGACACACGUAAGUACAUUAUACACAUCGUGCUCUGAAUAUUCGGUGAGCCACCGCGUGACCUACGUGACCUACAUUCGAUAGAGUGGAUAAGUAGACAGUGCUCGGCUGUGAUCUAUUCGACCGAACGUAGGUCACGUAGCCUACGGCAGAGCGCGCAACGGACCAACGGAACGGACAGACGGAGCGUGAUGUGUGUACGUGAGUGUGCUCGGGCUUUUGGAUCGCAGGCAUCGCAGUAUAAAUUUCGAGCUCGAGUUCUGCCGUGGAUGUGACGUUGGAGUGCCGAAUGUAGUAGCAAAUGAACAUCUCGAUACGCGAGUCACAGUGUCGUUCGUGGAAAUGGGUCGUAUGCAUUCGUAAAGCGCGAUAUCGUGUAUUCGUGUGCUUGUGCCUCGCCUGGCGACAAGCUAAAUUUUCCCGCGUAUUUCGCGUUUUACGCGAUUGUGUUCGUGCAUUAUCCGCGCAAUGUCGGGAUUCUCGGAUAAUUUCCUCAUCGAUAACGUUUUCGCGAGUGAAUCUUGUGCGAGCAUCGUGAAGAAACGGUGUCGAACCAAUAGUUUCGCGGAAUUACACAUUCUUCCGUUUUCAAAAUAAAAAUGUCGGACAUAAUCGUCGUCAGGAAUGUACAAGGAAUGCUUUGAUGGAGCAACGAUAAGAAAUUUGAGAGAAAGAGGAGAAGGAGGAGGUUCGGGAGCAUCAAGUGCCAGCAGAACAAUCAUGGAUUAAUAUAUACGCCAACUCCGCUGUUGCUUAUCAGUAAGUCUGAAACUAUUUUUAUUUUAACUUGAGAUCUAUAUAUCACUUCUCCA